AGCAGUGUGGCUCAGUGCGAAGAGCACGGGCUUGGGAGUCAGAGGUCAUAGGUUCGAAUCCUGACUCUGCCA
rnacentral:tRNA from 1 species